AUCAACGCAGAAUAACAAUGUUCCCGGUUCAUGGCUUCCCUGGACAACAACACUUCUGUAAUCUCCUGGAUAUUGUGAGGAAGAAGGGAGGAUCUUGCAGAGAAAAGAUUCAACACACACUCAAGGCUCUGGACCAGCUGGGCAACUUCUUUGCUAACUGCUUAUUGACAUCAUCAAGGAUAAGGUAUUCCCGUUUAGAGACAGUAUCUACAGAGUCAUUUUCUUCUGUCGACUGCUGGCCAAGAACAUUUGGAGGGAUGUAUGGUCUCCAAUUCCAUUCAUCAAGAAGGCCAUUUUUCCUAUAAGAUUCUCUUUCAUUAAGUAGUCUCUUCCACUGCCUGUCCAGAUUUUUCUCUGUAAUAUCUGCUGAAAAACUUGGAAUUAAACAUCUCAUCCACCUGAGUGCAUCUUUAUUUGAAGAUGUUGCCCCUUUCUUUUUCAGUGGACUUAGUUGAAAAAUAUGCUUAUUGAAGAUCUGCUUUGGAGCUAAGAUGUCUUUCCCUGACUUGAGUUCUUUUAAGAUUCCCUCUGACAGAUCAGCACGCUGCACUGAUGAAGCCAUCUGAAAAAAGGACUAUCAAACAUUAUUACAUGGCUCAAAAACAAAACUUAAACAUUGUUCUUUUAUUUGCCCUUUUUUUCCUAAAAAAUAUUACCUUGAAAUUUUUGGAAACUUGAAGCCACUACGGCACCUGGCAGGGAGGAUAAGUUGAAAACAAGUAACUGGAAAUAAAGGAAAAUGUCUUAAUAUCUCGCUGGUUCUGGAGAGUUUCAACAAAACAUGUCUGAGAUGAUAAAGAUUAAUAAUACAUUGAUUUUAAAAAUCACUUUCAUUUAAAAAAAAAAUUUGAUUUAAAAAAUUCAUAACUUUUUGAACACUGCAGAGGAAUCAUUUCAAGCGUGUCUUAGAUAUGGAAACAAUAGACAAAAAAACUAACUAGCUAGCUGCAGUAUUUUUUUUAAAUAUGCAAAUAACUUUAACAUCUUUUUUUUUUAACUCUAUCUUUUACAUCGGAAAGAGUUGGCAAAUCCCACAAUAAUUGGUUAGUGUUGUUAUAAUAUGAUCUUUUUUUUUUACAGUAGAGAUAAAGAAAUACAUUUUAGGUGGAAAUUAUCUGCAUAAUUUUGUACAUAUGUGGCAUGCAAUUAAAAUUAUUUUUAAUUUUAGUGUUAAAGGAUACCAGCACACGAGAAAAAUAUUAGUGCAGGCAAAAAGGAGGAGAAACAGAGCAUGACCCUGAAGAAAAAAGAAAAAAUAAAUAAUAAUUAAGAGAAGAAGUAUGCUUUGCAAGUUGAGGAAAGUAAGAGGAGAAAAAUAAUUUUAAAAAUGCAGAUGGGAGACAGGGCUCAGAGAAAACACAAGGCAUUGGAGAAAUGAAUAGAAAAGGAUCAGGACAAUGUCUAGAUGAAGUCUGAAAGUGCCUUUUUUAUUUACAAGUUUUCAUGUCUUAAGCAGAACAUUCUGACAGAGAACUAGCAUUAAGAUUAUCAUGUGAUUCUGUGUUUUAUAUAUAUAUAAUAAUUAUAUAUAUAUAUAUGUAAUUAUUAUAAUAAUAAUUAUUAUUAUAUAUGUUACUAUAGUGCCUGUACCUUCACAUGCCAUGGUUUUUUUUUUUUUUUUUACUGUAUGAAUGAAUUAAUGCGCUAAGAAUUAUGGACUUCUUUCAAGGUAGGAGCGCUCCAGUUUGCGCUCAUUUACAUAAUACUUCUAGACGUUCCCAUGGAGAUAGACGCCCGAAUAACUGAAUUCUGGUAGUUUCAGAA
ensembl:lncRNA